CUCCUACGGGAGGCUGCAGUAAGGAAUAUUGGUCAAUGGACGCAAGUCUGAACCAGCCAUGCCGCGUGGAGGAUGAAGGUCCUCUGGAUUGUAAACUUCUUUUAUCUGGGACGAAACACUCCUUUUCUAAGGGGCCUGACGGUACCAGAUGAAUAAGCACCGGCUAACUCCGUGCCAGCAGCCGCGGUAAUACGGAGGGUGCAAGCGUUAUCCGGAUUCACUGGGUUUAAAGGGUGCGUAGGUGGGUAUGUAAGUCAGAGGUGAAAUCCCCGAGCUUAACUUGGGAACUGCCUUUGAUACUAUAUAUCUUGAAUGUCGUAGAGGUUAGCGGAAUAUGUCACGUAGCGGUGAAAUGCUUAGAUAUGACAUAGAACACCAAUUGCGAAGGCAGCUAGCUAUGCGAUUAUUGACACUGAGGCACGAAAGCGUGGGUAGCAAACAGGAUUAGAUACCCUGGUAGUCCACGCCCUAAACUAUGGAUACUCGACAUACGCGAUACACUGUGUGUGUCUGAGCGAAAGCAUUA
rnacentral:rRNA from 1 species